ensembl:lncRNA
GUUGUGGGUUCAUGACUCCUCUUUCCCCCUUUUGCAGCUGCAGUUCCUCAGCCAGGAAUUUUUCAUGUGAUCUCCGGGGAAGCUCCUGCUCACUUUUCAAGAGGCUGGUGGGCAUCACCUUCUGGAGUUGCCCUUAUCCCAACAGAUGUGCUUUCCUGUCCCUCUGUAUGGCUGUGUCUGGACAUUGUGGGCAGCACCCUGCUGCGCUCAGGACAUGGUUCAAGCUCAGUUCAGUUCAGUCGCUCAGACGUGUCCAACUCUGCGACCCCAUGAAUCACAGCACGCCAGGCCUCCCUGUCCAUCACCAACUCCCGGAGUUCACUCAGACUCACGUCCAUCAAGUCUGUGAUGCCAUCCAGCCAUCUCAUCCUCUGUCGUCCCCUUCUUCUCCUGCCCCCAAUCCCUCCCAGCAUCAAAGUCUUUUCCAAUGAGUCAAUUUAUUUAUUUUAAUUGGAGGCUAAUUACUUUACAAUAUUGUAGUGUUUUUGCCACUGACAUGAAUCAGUCAUGGGUAUACAGGUAUUCCCCAUCCUGAACCACCUCCCCACUAGAAGUUGCAUUUUAACUAGACUCCUGGACGAUUCACGUGCAUGUUGAAGUUUGAGAAGCACUGAACUGGCCUCUGACUCCUGGCUGACCCCUCUCACGUGUCCUCCUCCACCCUGAGCCGUGGUGAUCCUCCC